UGGGGAAUCUUGCACAAUGGGCGAAAGCCUGAUGCAGCAACGCCGCGUGCGGGAAGAAGGCCCUCGGGUUGUAAACCGCUUUCAGAAGGAACGAAACUGACGGUACUUUCAGAAGAAGGUGCGGCCAACUACGUGCCAGCAGCCGCGGUGACACGUAGGCACCAAGCGUUGUCCGGAUUUAUUGGGCGUAAAGAGCUCGUAGGCGGUUCAGUAAGUCGGGUGUGAAAACUUUGGGCUUAACCCAAAGCGUGCAUCCGAUACUGCUGUGACUUGAGUACGGUAGGGGAGCGGGGAAUUCCCAGUGUAGCGGUGAAAUGCGUAGAUAUUGGGAAGAACACCAGUGGCGUAAGCGACUUGCUGGCCCGUAACUGACGCUGAGGAACGAAAGCCAGGGGAGCGAAUGGGAUUAGAUACCCCAGUAGUCCCUGAGCGGGCUGGCAAGGCGCAU
rnacentral:rRNA from 1 species